rnacentral:rRNA from 1 species
GACAGAGGGUGCAAACGUUGCUCGGAAUCACUGGGCGUAAAGGGCGUGUAGGCGGGAAGGAAAGUCAGAUGUGAAAUCCCCAGGCUCAACCUGGGAACUGCAUUUGAAACUCCCUUUCUUGAGUACCGGAGAGGAAAGUGGAAUUCCUGGUGUAGAGGUGAAAUUCGUAGAUAUCAGGAGGAACACCGGUGGCGAAGGCGACUACCUGGCCUGUUCUUGACGCUGAGGCGCGAAAGCUAGGGGAGCAAACGGG